rfam:Pteropus alecto contig89141, whole genome shotgun sequence.
GGCUCCAUAGUGUAAUGGUUAGUUAGCACAUCUGCUUUACAUGCAGAAGGUCCUGGGUUUGCGCCCCAGGUGGAGCCA